rnacentral:rRNA from 1 species
GACGAUCCCUAGCUGGUCUGAGAGGAUGAUCCAGCCACACUGGAACUGAGACACGGUCCAGACUCCUACGGGAGGCAGCAGUGGGGAAUAUUGCACAAUGGGCGCAAGCCUGAUGCAGCCAUGCCGCGUGUAUGAAGAAGGCCUUCGGGUUGUAAAGUACUUUCAGCGGGGAGGAAGGCGUUGAGGUUAAUAACCUCAGCGAUUGACGUUACCCGCAGAAGAAGCACCGGCUAACUCCGUGCCAGCAGCCGCGGUAAUACGGAGGGUGCAAGCGUUAAUCGGAAUUACUGGGCGUAAAGCGCACGCUAGGCGGUCUGUCAAGUCGGAUGUGAAAUCCCCGGGCUCAACCGUGGGAACUGCAUUCGAAACUGGCAGGCUAGAGUCUUGUAGAGGGGGGUAGAAUUCCAGGUGUAGCGGUGAAAUGCGUAGAGAUCUGGAGGAAUACCGGUGGCGAAGGCGGCUCCCUGGACAAAGACUGACGCUCAGUGUGCGAAAGCGUGGGGAGCAAACAGGAUUAGAUACCCUGGUAGUCCACGCCGUAAACGAUGUCGACUUGGAGGUUGUGCCCUUGAGGCGUGGCUUCCGGAGCUAACGCGUUAAGUCGACCGCCUGGGGAGUACGGCCGCAAGGUUAAAACUCAAAUGAAUUGACGGGGGCCCGCACAAGCGGUGGAGCAUGUGGUUUAAUUCGAUGCAACGCGAAGAACCUUACCUACUCUUGACAUCCAGAGAACUUUCCAGAAAUGGAUUGGUGCCUUCGGGAACUCUGAGACAGGUGCUGCAUGGCUGUCGUCAGCUCGUGUUGUGAAAUGUUGGGUUAAGUCCCGCAACGAGCGCAACCCUUAUCCUUUGUUGCCAGCGGUCCGGCCGGGAACUCACAAGGAGACUGCCAGUGAUAAACUGGAGGAAGGUGGGGAUGACGUCAAGUCAUCAUGGGCCCUGUGGGAGGGGGGGUACACACGUGCUACAAUGGCGCAUACAAAGAGAAGCGACCUCCCGAGAGCAAGCGGACCUCAUAAAGUGCGUCUUACUCCGGAUUGGAGUCUGCAACUCGACUCCCUGAAGUCGGAAUCGCUA